UUUCUUUCUAAAACAAGGAAGGAAGAAAGAAAAUCGUCAAAACCAUCUUUUUCUCAGAUAGUCUAACCAAAGGUUUAGACUUUGGACUACGUUACAAAAACUUGCUGGGAAUCUUGGCCCCUUCGUGAAGGUCGCGGGUUAAAAGGUUUGGGCUUUGUCACUGUGAAUGCACAGGCUUGCAUCUGCAACAGAGUUUAUGGCUAUGGAGGUUGAUUCUGAGAAACAACCGAUUAAAAGGGAGAUUAGCCCUGAACCUGACUCUAGUCCUCCUUGUCCCAAAAUAAGCAUACAUGAUUACUAUCUGUCUUCAGUUAGCUCUACUUCUAGCACACGUAUUGUUUAGGCAAAGGUCAUGUAUGCUAAACAAUGACUUAUGUAUUUGGUACACUGGUUUCAGCAUGAAUCCCACCAAUUGUGAUUUCGAUUUAAAUUCAUGUUCUCUGCAAAUCUCAUGUUCCGAGUUAUUUAAGAUUAGUUCCUG